rnacentral:lncRNA from 1 species
UAUUGAAUAAUCAGAGCACGUUAGACCCGAGGCAUCUCAUUUCCCAUAAUAUUUUGGUGGCCUAUGAAUUAUUACAUGCCAUAAAAAACUGCAGGCACUCAAAUUAGAUAUGAGCAACGAUCAGGUGAAAUGACAUUUUUCAGAACAGAUGAUGACCUGUAUAGGCUUUGACUUGAGAUGGGUUAGCCUUACUAUGUCGUGCAUCACCUCAGUGACUUAUUCGGUUGUUGUGAAUGGACAUUGUUUCUCUUCCAUAGUUCCAAGCUGCAAGUUG